AACGAACGCUGGCGGCAGGCCUUAUACAUGCAAGUCGAACGAGAAAGCCCUUCGGGGUGAGUACAGUGGCGCACGGGUGAGUAACACGUGGGUAACCUACCCCUUGGUGGGGAACAACAGGAAGAAAUUCCUGCUAAUACCGCAUAAGUUGGUAACAAGAAAGAGGGCUUCGGCUCUCGCCGAGGGAUGGGCCCGCGGGACAUUAGCUUGAUGGUGGGGUAAUGGCCUACCAUGGCAACGAUGUCUAGCUGGUCUGAGAGGAUGAUCAGCCACACUGGAACUGAGACACGGUCCAG
rnacentral:rRNA from 1 species